AUUGAACGCUAGCGGGAUGCUUUACACAUGCAAGUCGAACGAGGGGCGGACGGGUGAGUAAUAUAUCGGAACGUGCCCAGUAGCGGGUGAUAACUACUCGAACGAGUGGCUCAUACCGCAUACUAUUGGAGCGGCCGAUAUCGGAUUAGCUAGUUGGUGGGGUACAGGCUGACCAAGGCAACGAUCCGUAGCUGGUUUGAGAGGACGACCAGCCACACUGGGACGGAGACACGGCCCAGACUCCUACGGGAGGCAGCAGUGGGGAAUGUUGGGCAAUGGGGGAAACCCUGAUCCAGCCAUCCCGCGUUUAUGAGAAGGCCUUCGGGUUGUAAAGUACUGUUGGCAGAGAAGCGGUAUCUGCAUAAUAAGCACCGGCUAACUACGUGCCAGCAGCCGCGGUAAUUC
rnacentral:rRNA from 1 species